UAGUAAUACAAGGCAGACGGCUCAGUAACACGUAGUCAACCUACCCUAUGGACGAGAAUAAUCUCGGGAAACUGAGCAUAAUUCUUGAUAGAUCAUAAUGCCUGGAAUGGUUUAUGGUUAAAAUGAUUCGUCGCCAUAGGAUGGGACUGCGGCCUAUCAGCUUGUUGGUGAGGUAAUGGCCCACCAAGGCGAUUACAGGUACGGGCUCUGAGAGGAGAAGCCCGGAGAUGGGUACUGAGACACGGACCCAGGCCCUAUGGGGCGCAGCAGGCGAGAAAACUUUGCAAUGUGCGAAAGCACGACAAGGUUAAUCCGAGUGGUUUCUGCUAAAGAAAUCUUUUGCCAGUCGUAAAACCGCUGGUGAAUAAGGGGUGGGCAAGUUCUGGUGUC
rnacentral:rRNA from 1 species